AUUGAACGCUGGCGGCAGGCCUAACACAUGCAAGUCGAGCGGAUGAAGGGAGCUUGCUCCUGGAUUCAGCGGCGGACGGGUGAGUAAUGCCUAGGAAUCUGCCUGGUUGUGGGGAUAACGUCCGGAAACGGGCGCUAAUACCGCAUACGUCCUGAGGGAGAAAGUGGGGGAUCUUCGGACCUCACGCUAUCAGAUGAGCCUAGGUCGGAUUAGCUAGUUGGUGGGGUAAAGGCCUACCAAGGCGACGAUCCGUAACUGGUCUGAGAGGAUGAUCAGUCACACUGGAACUGAGACACGGUCCAGACUCCUACGGGAGGCAGCAGUGGGGAAUAUUGGACAAUGGGCGAAAGCCUGAUCCAGCCAUGCCGCGUGUGUGAAGAAGGUCUUCGGAUUGUAAAGCACUUUAAGUUGGGAGGAAGGGCAGUAAGUUAAUACCUUGCUGUUUUGACGUUACCGACAGAAUAAGCACCGGCUAACUUCGUG
rnacentral:rRNA from 1 species